rnacentral:ncRNA from 1 species
CCGAUAGCGAACAAUUACCGUGAGGGAAAUUGAAAAGCCUUUGGAGAGAGAGUUAAAAAGUCGUGAAACCGUCGAGAGGCAAACGGGAGGGCCUGUCGGGUCGUUCGGUCGCUUUCAGGCGGGCCGGAGACCGGGUCGCGGGAUCGGGGACCUUCGCGGGCCUUGACUCGCGUCGCCGGCCGACGGCUCGGCGCACUAGCGUCGGACGAGGGCCGCGACCGGCUGGGCGGCGGGCAAACGGCUCCGGGCAAGGUAACCCCGCUUCGGCGGGGUGCUACAGGCCCGGUGCGCGCAAGGGUCGCCGCCCGGUCGAGGAGAGAUGCGCGCCGCACCUGCCCCGUUCGCGGGGCCGGGGAAGCCGUUCGAGCAGCGUCGUGUCGCGGUCCGGGACUGUCCUCAGUCCCGGGUCGUCUCGGCGCGGUUCCGAGCGGUCGCUCCCUCGCGAGGUGCCGCGGGUCAGCGGCUGACGCCAGCCACCUUCCCGACCCGUCUUGAAACACGGACCAAGGAGUCUAACAUGUGCGCGAGCCGCGGGGCAGUACGAAACCCGUAAGGCGAAAUGAAGGUGAACGCCGGCGCGGUCCGGCGGAGGUUGGAUCCCGUCCCGUCGGGGCGGGCGCACUACCGGCCGAUCUUCUCCGCCCUGUCGGCGAGGUCGAGCGAGAGCGUGCAAGUCGGGACCCGAAAGAUGGUGAACUAUGCCUGAGGAGGUUGAAGCCAGAGGAAACUCUGGUGGAGGACCGUAGCGAUUCUGACGUGCAAAUCGAUCGUCAAAUUUGGGUAUAGGGGCGAAAGACUAAUCGAACCGUCUAGUAGCUGGUUCCCUUCGAAGUUUCCCUCAGGAUAGCUGGCGCUCUGUCGCAGUUUUAUCUGAGAAAGCGAAUGAUUAGAGGUCUUGGGGA